rnacentral:lncRNA from 1 species
GAAUUGAUUAAUUCAGUCUCUGUGGAAUACGACCUUGCUUGCUACUGUACACAAUUGCACCCGUACACUUGCGGCGUGUUAAAUAAAAUAGCGAACAAGUUUUUGGCGCCGUUGCCGGGGACUGAUUUUUAUCAGUACUAUUCUGUUAAUUGUUUGAUACUACUCUGGAUUUUUUUUAUUUCUGUUAUUUAUUUUUCUGUUCUUUAUUUUUUCCUGCGGUUCUGAUUCUUGCGUUGGAGUUUUUUUUAGGUAGUGCAUGAACACGCGAUCUCAGAAGCUUCCUCUUGAAGAUUUUGAUCCUGAGAUUGAAGCUACGCUCCGCCGCAAGAACAGCCAAGCAAAGCAAGAUAAUUUGGAUUCUAUGGCUACCGCAGAAGAAGUCCGUGCAUUGAGAGAGCAGUUGCAGGCGGUGUUGGAUGCUCAGAAAAAUGCUGCUAAGCAGAAACAGCCGCCUAUUGAUGAGGCAUUUACUCCAC